GAAUCAACCAUGAUAGGCAGAGUACGCAAUGAUCGGCGGCUCAGAGAGGAACUCUUAGGCUGCGAAGUUUCCCGCGGAUCAUAGCCGAAGGUCAGCCUGGAGUUGUUGCGCUGAACUUGAGUAGGUGCAACCGGAUAGCGCCGUUAUCGCGUUUUGAGUGCCCAGGCUGUUUUGUAUUCACUCUGGGAAGCAAGGUGGUACCACGGAAGAUUAAGCACUUUCGUCCCUGCG
rnacentral:ncRNA from 1 species